rnacentral:tRNA from 1 species
UCCCUUGUAGCUCAGUUGGUAAAGAAUCUGCCUACAGUGCAGGAGACCAGGGUUUGAUUCCUGGAUAGGGAA